CACGUAGGGCGCGAGCGUUGUCCGGAAUUAUUGGGCGUAAAGAGCGUGUAGGCGGCCAGGUAGGUCGGUUGUGAAAACUGGAGGCUCAACCUUCAGAGGUCGACCGAAACCAUCUGGCUAGAGUCCGGGAGAGGAGAGUGGAAUUCCUGGUGUAGCGGUGAAAUGCGCAGAUAUCAGGAAGAACACCCGUGGCGAAAGCGGCUCUCUGGAACGGUACUGACGCUGAGACGCGAAAGCGUGGGGAGCGAACAGG
rnacentral:rRNA from 1 species